rnacentral:tRNA from 3 species
GCACCCAUAGCUCAGCGGAUUAGAGCAUCGAUCUUCGGAAUCGAGUGUCGGGGGUUCGAGUCCCUCUGGGUGCG